UACGUAGGGAGCAAGCGUUGUCCGGAAUCAUUGGGCGUAAAGCGCGCGUAGGUGGCUUCAUAAGUCCGUUGUGAAAGUCAAAGGCUCAACCUUUGAAAGCCGAUGGAUACUGUGAAGCUAGAGUACGGAAGAGGCGAGUGGAAUUCCUGGUGUAGCGGUGGAAUGCGCAGAUAUCAGGAGGAACACCAAUAGCGAAGGCAGCUCGCUGGGACGUUACUGACACUGAGGCGCGAAAGCCAGGGGAGCAAACGGG
rnacentral:rRNA from 1 species